rnacentral:rRNA from 1 species
UACGUAGGGGGCAAGCGUUGUCCGGAAUCAUUGGGCGUAAAGAGCGUGUAGGCGGCUUGGUAAGUCCGCUGUGAAAGUCCAGGGCUCAACCCUGGAAUGCCGGUGGAAACUGUCAGGCUCGAGUCCGGAAGAGGCGAGUGGAAUUCCUGGUGUAGCGGUGAAAUGCGCAGAUAUCAGGAGGAACACCAAUGGCGAAGGCAGCUCGCUGGGACGGUACUGACGCUGAGCGAGCGAAAGCCAGGGGAGCAAACGGG